UACGUAGGGUGCAAGCGUUGUCCGGAAUUAUUGGGCGUAAAGAGCUCGUAGGCGGUCUGUCGCGUCGGCUGUGAAAACUCGGGACUCAACCCCGAGCCUGCAGUCGAUACGGGCAGACUAGAGUGCUGUAGGGGAGACUGGAAUUCCUGGUGUAGCGGUGAAAUGCGCAGAUAUCAGGAGGAACACCGGUGGCGAAGGCGGGUCUCUGGGCAGUAACUGACGCUGAGGAGCGAAAGCGUGGGGAGCGAACAGG
rnacentral:rRNA from 1 species